rnacentral:rRNA from 1 species
UUGAAGCUGGUACCUUCGGUAUCCGCGUUGUAACCUCGAGACACGUUUUCCGUGCGGCGCUAUGGACAAGUUCCUUGGAACAGGACAUCGUAGAGGGUGAAAAUCCCGUACUUGCCAUGGAUGUACCGUGCUUUGCGAUACGUGCUCUAAGAGUCGAGUUGUUUGGGAUUGCAGCUCAAAAUGGGUGGUAGACUCCAUCUAAAGCUAAAUAUCGGGGAGAGACCGAUAGCGAACAAGUACCGUGAGGGAAAGAUGAAAAGCACUUUGGAAAGAGAGUUAAAAGUACGUGAAAUUGUCGAAAGGGAAGCGCUUGAAGUCAGCCAUGCCGCUCAGGACUCAGCCUGGCUUUUGCUUGGUGUAUUUCCUGGGUAGCAAGUCAGCAUUGGUUUGGAUCGUCGGAGAAGCAUAGUCGGAAUGUGGCGCCCUCGGGCGUGUUAUAGCCUUCUAUUGGAUACGACGAUCUAGACCAAGGAACGCAGCGCGCCUUAUGGCGGGUCUUCGGACACCUUCGCGCUUAGGAUG